rnacentral:rRNA from 1 species
CGCGUACGUGAGUGUAGUGUUAGAGGGUUUCCGCCCUUUAGUGCUGCAGCAAACGCAUUAAGCACUCCGCCUGGGGAGUACGGUCGCAAGACUGAAACUCAAAGGAAUUGACGGGGGCCCGCACAAGCGGUGGAGCAUGUGGUUUAAUUCGAAGCAACGCGAAGAACCUUACCAGGUCUUGACAUCCUCUGACAACCCUAGAGAUAGGGCUUCCCCUUCGGGGGCAGAGUGACAGGUGGUGCAUGGUUGUCGUCAGCUCGUGUCGUGAGAUGUUGGGUUUAAGUCCCGCAAACGAGCGCAACCCCUUGAUCUUAGUUGCCCAGCCAUUCCAGUUUGGGGCACUUCUAAGGUGGACUGCCCGGGUGACCAAACCGGGAGGAAAGGUGGGGAAUGAACGUCCAAAUUCAUCCAUGGCCCCCUUU